UGGGGAAUAUUGCGCAAUGGGGGAAACCCUGACGCAGCGACGCCGUGUGAGUGAUGAAGGCUUUCGGGUCGUAAAGCUCUGUCGGAUGGGACGAAUAAUGGCUGUGUGAAUAAUGCAGUCAGAUGACGGUACCGUCGAAGGAAGCACCGGCUAACUCCGUGCCAGCAGCCGCGGUAAUACGGAGGGUGCAAGCGUUGUUCGGAAUUAUUGGGCGUAAAGAACGUGUAGGCGGGUUUGUGUGUCAGAUGUGAGAGCCCUCGGCUCAACCGAGGAAGUGCAUCUGAAACUGCAAAUCUUGAGUACGAGAGAGGAGAGUGGAAUUCCCAGUGUAGAGGUGAAAUUCAUAGAUAUUGGGAAGAACACCGGCGGCGAAAGCGGCUCUCUGGCUCGAUACUGACGCUGAGACGUGAAAGCGUGGGGAGCAAACAG
rnacentral:rRNA from 1 species